GUGAGUCAUCGAGUCUUUGAACGCAUAUUGCGCUCUUUGGUAUUCCGAAGAGCAUGCUUGUUUGAGUAUCAGUAAACACCUCAAAGCUUUUGGAUUUUUUAAUCGAAAAGCUUUGGACUUGAGCAAUCCCAACACCAAUCUUUUUGAGAUCGGUGGCGGGUUGCUUGAAAUGCAGGUGCAGCUGGACAUCUCCUGAGCUAAAAGCAUAUUCAUUUAGUCCCGUCAAACGGAUUAUUACUUUUGCUGCAGCUAACAUAGAGGGAGUUUGACCGUAUUGGCUGACUGAUGCAGGAUUUCACAAGGGUCGGCAACGAUUCUUGUUAAACUCGAUCUCAAAUCAAGUAAGACUACCCGCUGAACUUAA
rnacentral:rRNA from 1 species